AGCCAUUGGUCAAUAUUUCCCGCCAAAACCUUUGACCCCCUUUGUCCAGUGUGUCUAGCUAAUUACUAGCCAAGGAGCAGUCAAUGUGUAUAGUUGUGUUUUUGUAUUUUUUGGAGAAAUCUUUAAGACCACUGACAAUAUUGAUAAUCCAUAUAAGCCAUACACACAAAUCAGUAUUAGAGAGGGAUUCAUACCCAUAGUCUGAAUCUGCUUUAUGAUGAUGCAUUUGGUAUUUAUGCAACUGUAAUAAACAUCAUCACAGUGAAACAUCUUGUUUUCAAUUGCUGCUCCC